rnacentral:snRNA from 1 species
GAAUUUAAAUAUGAUCUAGUUUUGACCCCUCUCAUUGAUUCUUUAAUCACCAAGGUGGAAACAGCUUAUCUGGCUGGCUAGGAGGACGCUCCCUUCCUUGCUCACUGCUCCAUGUGAGGUCUGCCCAAAGCUGUGUGCUCAACAUGGAAGAGGUUAACCUCCCCUGACAGAGGAUGGCAAUGUUUCCAUCAUGGGUAGAGGAGUAGCCACUAGAAUCUCUGAACAGACUCUCAAAACCUCUUCGAGUUUACCUUUCUAUCUGUCUUCCCCUCCACACUUGUUAAAUUUGGAGAGCUUGGGCUGAGUCUAUGUGU